UAAUCCUAAACAUAAAAUCAACAUCUCAAGGUGUGAAAACCACAGCAAUCUACUAAAACCCAUAAGAAAUUUCUUACUUCCAUCUAAUCGUCAAGUGUAAUAUAGUAUCCAAUAGCACCACACACCAAAAUCAAAUGUAAAAACUUAUCCUUCUAUGUGUAGAAAUCCCAAUAAGUUGAAAGUAUGUUGAGGUGUGAAAUCUAUGCAAUGAAGGUGUUGAAGAUGAUGGAUUUGAUAUUUACAAAAGAGAUUUGGACGUACGAACGGGAAUAAGAAGAGAAACAAAUGUAGGGUUUCAGAGGGAUUAGGGAAAAGAGAGAUUGAAAAAUAAAAAGACAAAAGGGGAGGGGUGUAUAUAUAUAUAGAGAGAGAGAGAGAAAAGAAAGAAAAAAAAAAAAAAAACUAAACAAACUUAAAAAAAUUUACGCACAGAGAUGUGGCGCUGCGGCACCUGGGAAGUGGCGCUCUAUCAAUUUUAUUACCUUAUUCUUUGUUGAGUUUUAUCGUCUCCCAUCAUUCGAUAACUUGGUUUACAUCUCCCAUUUACGCUUAGUGUUAUCAUCCACUUGGGAUUUUUCCUACAAAAUACAUCGAGAAUGUUACGAUUCUAGCAUAAACAAUAACCACUAAGUUGAAAGAAUAUUGAGAUGUAAAAUCUAUGCAAUGAAGAUGUUGAAGAUGAUGGGUUCGAUAUUUAUGGAAGAGAUAUGAAGUAGGAGAG
rnacentral:lncRNA from 1 species